CGGCUGGUCUAAUAUCGCCCCUAUAUGUCCUAGUCCAAAGUAAUGUCCUAGUCCUAUGUAUCGGGUUGGUCUAAUACAUCCCUAUAUGUCCUAUUCCUAUGUAUCGGCUGGUCUAAUACGUCCCUAUAUGUCCUAGUCCUAUGUAUCGUCCUAUGUACCGGCUGGUCUGAUACGUCCCUAUAUGUCCUAGUCCUAUGUAUCGGCUGGUCUGAUACGUCCCUAUAUGUCCUAGUCC